GCCAGCAGCCAGAGAGACAGGAGCUAAGAUCCUGCAUGCUGCCUAACGUCUGUGAAGUCUGGGGAGACAUCUUUUGUGGGGCCUGGGUGGAGGACGCACAGUGAGUGAAGGAUGCCUGGCAUCAGGAGCACCAGCUGCAGUGGCAGUGAGAGUGGUGGGCCCCCCACCAAUGAAGCCCCAGGCCCACUGGUUUCCUGUGCUGUCACCAAGCCCAUGGCAUCCUGCCACAAUCUCAGGGGACAUGGGACUCCAAGAUGACUGGGACAAGGAGCUGCCUGUAUCCCUGCUCUCCCUGUAAAGGGCCUCUCUAGAAUGAAGCCCCACCACCAGCUUCCUCCCCAUGCCAGCAUUGUACCAUGAGUUUUCCCCUGCUGUGCAUGUCCUGGAUACUGCAUAAGGAGAUGUUUGCAUGGACUGAGGGGUGCCUGGCCCACUAUACCCUGCUGCUGGUGAUCAGCACAAUGCCACAGGUGAAUCUGCACACUGCCAUGGGACGUUGAGCUUCGCCAGUAUAGAGGCAAGCCUGGGCUUCCCCACAAAUUCCUCUACCACCUGGAUGGCUACCUGUGGCUACAUUACAUGCCCUGCCACCCAGAGCUGAGGAAGACUUUGCUACUGACAGCAAUGCAUUCCUUGGCACAUUAGAGGCCCAUGCCCACCUAUCUUCAGGGGCAUAGGCUGCUCAUUGUAGUUUUGCACUGUCUCUUACCACCCUGCAUGCUGAGGGG